GGCCCUGUAGCUUAGCCUGGUGAACUUUUACAAACAGUUCAAUCAAAAGAACUUUGUAAAAGGUUGGGCAAUAGAGCGCUGCUCUUAUAAAGCAGAGGUCCCGGAUUCAAAUACGGUCAUUAACAUUUGCGAAUCUGGAUGUUGCCGUUUGAAUGUUCCGGCAGGGCCA
rnacentral:tRNA from 1 species